UGGUACGGGAUCGGACAAACGUCAACGCGUUGGCGCCGAAAAAGAAUUGUCAUUGUUAGAAAAUUGAUCGAAACUGCGACACGUUUUUUCUUGACCUGGCAGUUAGUUAGUUUGUAGUGAAUUGUUUUUAGCGAAAACAGUAUGUAUUUGAUCAUUAGUUGUUUGAUCAUCUUUUAAUGUAUUUUGUUAUAGUAGGUGGAAUCUAUUUGGCUAGUUGCGCGUGAUUUGAGUGCUCGCGGGUUUGUGAGUCGGAAGAGGUUAGGUGAUAGAAAUUCCUUACUGCGCAAUUUGCCACUAAAAUAUUGUAUUUCCUUUGAUAGUUUGAGUGACCGUUCGGUUGUUCCGGUUAGGUGUACCGGGUUGAGCUCAAUUAGAGCGGUAGGAAAGAAAAAGCCUUCAAAUAGCCGGUGAUAUCCGACGGUUUAGGGUUGCCAGAGCUAGAGCUUAGGGUAAACGGCGAAACUUAUUUUCGAGUUCGUUCGCAUACAACGUACUACGGAACAGUUUUUAUUUCCCACAAAUCUCGAAAAUAAAGCUGCAACGAGCAACCUAAACCUGGAACCGAUGAUGGAAGGCCCUACCGGAGAGCUGUACAGCUGCGUGACAUGUCGCCGCCCGGAUUCAGCGCAGAGCAUGGUCGCUUGUGACGAGUGUUCGCAAUGGCA